GGCACGAAUUUGCAGUUACCAUUAUCACUAUUAAAAUGUCUUAAUUUUUCUAUCUGUUUAAGUGUAUUUUGAUUACAAAAUAGAAUCAAUUCAAUGCUGUCAAUAGGUCGUUUGAGGAUUUCCACUACUUUAGGUUGAUCAGGCCUUGAAGUAGAGGAUACCUCCGUAGUCAUGUCAUUGCAUAGAGCAACACAGGCCACCGGCGGACCGGAGGGGAGUAGCCAUACACAGGCGUUCCCCUCUGUCAAAGUACAAGUCCAAAUGGUCCUAUGCGUACAAUAAAACUAGUUGCAACUAAACUAUUCGCUAGACUAAAUCUAGUUGCGUGAGUGAAUCGACGUCGUCGUAAAAAAUGCCGAAUUGUUCUGUUUUUUGCUGCAAAAAGAGAUCUGCCACGUCAAAUUUACAAAAAGAUGGCGUUACCUUUCAUAUGUUUCCUAAAGAUCCAAAUUUAAGAAAUAUAUGGAAGACAUUUUCUCAUAACAGACCAACCUGGAUUCCCACAAGAAAUAGUGUCAUUUGCUCAAAUCAUUUUAAGACCUCUGACUUUCAAGUGUUGGCGAACAAUAGGAGGAGAUUAGUCGAUGGCGCCAAACCAACCGCCAACUGUAUUUGUUCCAAUCAUCGACAAUCAUUAAAUAUACCAGAUGAGAGGUUAUCAUCUAAUGGGCCCAUUAAUGACACUCGGACUAUUCCUAAUUCAUUGACAUCACCGUGUAGAUCGUCAACUCCUCAAAAUGUGAGUUGUUUUUAAAUCGUUUAUUGUAGAAUCGCAUAUUGAUAAAUUUGUCAUUCCUUCUAUUUUACUGUUGAGAUUAAGUAAAUUAUGUAAAGAUAUGAUAAGAGAUAAUUAUUUAUUCAUUUGUUUUCAGACUCAGUCAAAGGAAACAUCUAAAAAUCUGCUUCAAUUCCCA